UACCCACCGUGACGUUGCGCGUGACCUGGAUCUGGGCUCAUCUGGUCCCGAACGCGCGGCGUCGGCCGAGUGCAGCUCCGAGUCUCUAUACCCCUUGGCAUCGAUGUGCAAUUUGUAUCGCUACCGCCUGGUGUCUUUUUUUUUUCCAACCGUGCCAAAUGCGAUUAGAUGUCCACCGACUCUUUACCCCAAACUUUCUUUCCAUUUAACUGCAGUCCGAGGGGAGAAUUAGCGAUGACUUCGCAAAGAUGAUUUUCUCACCGCGUCUCUACAGUGGAAACACAAAUAGAAGAUCAAUAAUUUAUAACGAUAAGCAGUACGGCUUAACGUUAGUGUCUAUUCUACUCACAAUGGAAGUCAUUCUGUUUGAAGAAGUUCAAGCUGUUCCAUGGUGGCCAGAGUCAGAAGUUUACCGUUCCAAUUCGUUGGCAACAGAUGCCUGGUCUUCACGUGAAAUCAAGGUUAAUGUCAAAUCUCCCGUUGUAUCAUUCAAAGGGUAAAUGCCAUAUACCUCAUUUCCAUUUGAAAUAUGAAAUGGAUGCAAACUGCAUGGAUAUUCGAAACCCCAAGCUGCUUGACAGGUGUUUGUGGUUAAUUUGCUGAAAGGACUUUACAGAUGGGGAAGAUAGACGCAAAAAGCUGGAGUAACUCAGCGGAUCAGACAGCAUCUCUGGAGAAAAGGCGAAUCUGUUUCCUGAACUUGCACCAGGUUAUAUUAGCUGCAAAAACCACAACCAAAAACCACAUUUGAAAGUGGGCUACAACUGUCUAUGUCGCACAUCAUCAAGAGUCAUUAAUAAUAACACGAUUUCAGCAUUUUACUGGAUUUGUAUGGUUUACAUUAGUUUUUAUCAGAUUUCCUACAUUAUAACAGAACACUGAUUUCCUUGCCAUUAUAUAUUAGUUUUUUUUGUUUAGAGAUACAGCCCGGAACAGACCCUUCGGCCCACCGAGUCCGCACCAACCAGCAAUCCCUGCACAUUAACAUUAUCCAGCUACUAGGGACAAUUUCACAUACACCAAGGCAAUUUACCAACAAACCUGGAUGUCUUUGGAGUAUGGGUGGAAACCGAAGAUCUUGGAGAAAACCCACGCGGUCAUGGGGAGAAGGUACAAACUCCGUACAGACAGUACCCAUAGUCGGGAUGAAACCCCUGUCUCCGGCGCUGCAAACGCUGUAAAGCAGCAUCUCUGUGCCGUUUAUUAACAUAAACAUAAUAUGAAGAUUAUUACAAUAACUUGACAUGCUGAAUUUUGGUGAAAUAUUGGAUACCCAACCACUUUGCCAAACAGUAUUUACAAAGUGAAAGACUUUUCAAUAAUACACUUUAAUUAUACUAUUUAUUCCUCUUAUAUGUAUUUUAAAUAUCAGUUUUCCAUAAAAUUAAGCAAUAUGAAAGAUCUGAUGAAUAAUUAGAAGAUAGAAUAUAUUGAUAAAUGAGGGACAUAUUUCAGAAUUCUUGGCAGUGAAGGAGACACAGAUUAAUGACCUUUUAAAGGAAUAAAUGAUUGAAAUUGAGAGCAUUCCUACCAGCUAUACAUUCCAUUUGCAAAAUACUUUAUCAUGCCCUUUACAUUUAAAUGCAAUAAAAAAAGAUUCUAAGAAUUGAAUCGUGAAACUAUAUGGUGGUGCCUGUCGUCACAAACAUUCCUGUGGAUUGUUGCUUUCUGCCACUUAAUCAAUGUUGUCUCUCUUCCCUCUUCUCUGUCUUCUUUUGUAAACCAGUACACUUUAGUGGAAAACACUUAACAGGUGACAUUUCAGGUCGGGACCCUUCUUUAGACUUCAGUUACCGGUUAAUAAGGACAGUCAGCAUGAAUUUUAAUUACAUUAGUCUGAAGAUGGAUCACAACCCGAAAAGUCACCUGUCUGUCCCCUUCCCAGAUGCUGCCUGACCUGCUGAGCUCCUCCAGCACUUUGUGCUUUGCUCAAGAUUCCUGCAUGUAGUUUCUUGUCGCAAUAUUUCAGGGAACUUUGUCAAAUGUCUUGCAGCAAUCUGUGUAGAUCACAUCAAAUGAUUUACCUUCAUCUUCCCUCCUUAUUAAUGCCUUAUCAUGGUAUCCAAUUAAUCAGUCAUGCUUUUUCUUAAAUUCAUGCUGAUUGUCCUUAUUUGUCCUUGUCAUUCUAAGUAAGUACCGUGUAUUUUUUUUUUCUAAUUGUUAGACAUUGAAGUUACAUUUAUUGGCUUGUAACAACUCAGUUAUUCCUGUCUUCCCUUUGUAAACAACAGUGCUACAUUAGUUCUCCAAUCCUUCAGUCCCAUUCCGGUAACCAGGAUGAAUGAAAAGAUUGUUUUCACAAAUGUUAUCUUUAAAAUACUGUUUGUGACAAUGCACACUUUUGUUUAGAAAAGCACAGCCCCCAGGUAGAACACAGCAGAACAAAUUUCCCGGAAUAUUAAAAAAAAAAAUCUAAUUUACAAAACAGAGUAUUUGAAAUUCAUGGAAAGAUUUCUCUGUGUCACAUAGCAGUCAAUCCAGUAUUAAAGCAUACCAAAUUCUGCAUGC